GUGUAUAAGAAAGACAGCAGAGUUGGAGAGGGUUAGGAGGAAGGCAACUAAAGUAAUAACUGGAAUGGGGGGACUACAGUACCCUGAAAGAUUAUCAAAAUUAGAGUUAUUCACUUU